GACGAACGCUGGCGGCGUGCUUAACACAUGCAAGUCGAACGAAGAGCGACGGAAGCUUGCUUCUAUCAAUCUUAGUGGCGAACGGGUGAGUAACGCGUAAUCAACCUGCCCUUCAGAGGGGGACAACAGUUGGAAACGACUGCUAAUACCGCAUACGAUCUAAUCUCGGCAUCGAGGAUGGAUGAAAGGUGGCCUCUACAUGUAAGCUAUCACUGAAGGAGGGGAUUGCGUCUGAUUAGCUAGUUGGAGGGGUAACGGCCCACCAAGGCGAUGAUCAGUAGCCGGUCUGAGAGGAUGAACGGCCACAUUGGGACUGAGACACGGCCCAGACUCCUACGGGAGGCAGUAGUGGGGAAUCUUCCGCAAUGGACGAAAGUCUGACGGAGCAACGCCGCGUGAGUGAUGACGGCCUUCGGGUUGUAAAGCUCUGUUAAUCGGGACGAAAGGCCUUCUUGCGAAUAGUGAGAAGGAUUGACGGUACCGGAAUAGAAAGCCACGGCUAACUACGUG
rnacentral:rRNA from 1 species